rnacentral:misc_RNA from 1 species
GAUGAAGAACGCAGCGAAAUGCGAUAAGUAAUGUGAAUUGCAGAAUUCAGUGAAUCAUCGAAUCUUUGAACGCACAUUGCGCCCGUCAGUAUUCUGGCGGGCAUGCCUGUUCGAGCGUCAUUACGCCCCUCAAGUACCCUGUGGACUUGGUGUUGGGGAUCGGCGAGGCUGGUUUUCCAGCACAGCCGUCCCUUAAAUUAAUUGGCGGUCUCGCCGUGGCCCUCCUCUGCGCAGUAGUAAAACACUCGCAACAGGAGCCCGGCGCGGUCCACUGCCGUAAAACCCCCCAACUUUUUAUAGUUGACCUCGAAUCAGGUAGGACUACCCGCUGAACUUAAGCAUAUCAAUAAGCGGAGGA